AAAUUCAUAAAAGUUAUUUAAUAAAGUUUAAAGGACGCAGUAACCUUGACUGUGAUAAUGUAGCAUAAUCACUCGCCAUUUAAUUGAUGGAUAGUAUGAAUGGUUGAACGAAUAUUCCACUGUCUUAAAAAGAAAUACCAAAAAAUUAAAAUAAUAGUUAAGAUGCUAUUUAAAAUUGUAAGACGAAAAGACCCUAUAGAGCUUAACUAUAAUCUCUUUUAUCAACAGAAAAAAAAACAUUCAAAAAUAAAGAGAUUGGUAGUUUAGUUGGGGCGACUAUCUUUUAUAUAUAACAAAGAGAAGCAAAGUUAAUAAAAAACUUAUUGUAUAAUAAAUUAAUUUAACAAUUACAAAAGUAGGCUAUAAUGACCCGUUAUAUAUUAGUAAAAAUUAUAACGAUCAAUAAAUAAAAGCUACCUUAGGGAUAACAGGAUAAUUUCAUUUUAGAGAUCAUAUCGAAAAUGAAGUUUGUCACCUCUAUGUUGAAUUAAGAUAUCCUGACAAUGCAGAAGUUGUCAAA
rnacentral:rRNA from 1 species